AGUAACGCGUGAGCAACCUGCCUUGAAGUGGGGGACGAACAGUUGGAAACGACUGCUAAUACCGCAUAAUAUAUCUGAGUCGCAUGGCUUAGAUAUCAAAGAUUUAUCGCUUCAAGAUGGGCUCGCGUCUGAUUAGGUAGUUGGCGGGGUAACGGCCCACCAAGCCGACGAUCAGUAGCCGGACUGAGAGGUUGAACGGCCACAUUGGGACUGAGAUACGGCCCAGACUCCUACGGAAGGCAGCAG
rnacentral:rRNA from 1 species